rnacentral:rRNA from 1 species
UACGGAGGGUGCGAGCGUUGUCCGGAAUCACUGGGCGUAAAGGGCGCGUAGGCGGCUCGUGAAGUCAGUGGUGAAAGCCCAGGCUCAACUCUGGGUCGGCCACUGAUACUCGCGAGCUCGAGUUUGGUAGAGGCAGAUGGAAUUCCGGGUGUAGCGGUGGAAUGCGCAGAUAUCAGGAGGAACACCAAUGGCGAAGGCAGCUCGCUGGGACGGUACUGACGCUGAGACGCGAAAGCGUGGGGAGCAAACAGG